AGAUGGCUGAUAAGUCUCAAAUAGGGCGAAAUGCGCAUCCUGUAU
rnacentral:hammerhead_ribozyme from 1 species